rnacentral:rRNA from 1 species
UACGUAGGGUGCAAGCGUUGUCCGGAAUUAUUGGGCGUAAAGAGCUCGUAGGCGGUUUGUCGCGUCUGCUGUGAAAAUCCAGGGCUUAACCCUGGACCUGCAGUGGGUACGGGCAGACUAGAGUGCGGUAGGGGAGAUCGGAAUUCCUGGUGUAGCGGUGAAAUGCGCAGAUAUCAGGAGGAACACCGGUGGCGAAGGCGGAUCUCUGGGCCGUAACUGAACGCUGG